CACGUAGGGUGCGAGCGUUGUCCGGAAUUAUUGGGCGUAAAGAGCUCGUAGGCGGUGUGUCGCGUCGGCCGUGAAAACCUGCAGCUUAACUGUGGGCGUGCGGGCGAUACGGGCAGACUGGAGUACUGCAGGGGAGACUGGAAUUCCUGGUGUAGCGGUGGAAUGCGCAGAUAUCAGGAGGAACACCGGUGGCGAAGGCGGGUCUCUGGGCAGUAACUGACGCUGAGGCACGAAAGCUAGGGGAGCAAACAGG
rnacentral:rRNA from 1 species